rnacentral:rRNA from 1 species
GACGAACGCUGGCGGCGCGCCUAACACAUGCAAGUCGAACGAGCGAGCGAGAGCUUGCUUUCGCGAGCGAGUGGCGAACGGGUGAGUAACGCGUGAGGAACCUGCCUCAAAGAGGGGGACAACAGUUGGAAACGACUGCUAAUACCGCAUAAGAGCACGACCCGGCAUGGGGUAGAGGGAAAAGGAGCAAUCCGCUUUGAGAUGGCCGCGCGUCCGAUUAGCUUGUUGGUGUGGUAACGGCCCACCAAGGCGACGGUCGGUAGCCGGACUGAGGGGUGGAACGGCCACAUUGGGACUGAGACACGGCCCAGACUCCUACGGGAGGGAGCAGUAGAGAAUAUUGCACAAUGAGGCAAAACCUGAUGCAGCGGCGCCGCGUAGAGGAAGAAGCUCUUCGGAUUGUAAACUCCUGUUGUUGGAGAAGAUAAUGACGGUACUCAACAAGGAAGUGACGGCUAACUACGUG